rnacentral:tRNA from 1 species
GAAAAGAUGAUCGAAUAAGAUGAUAAUUUGUAAAAUUAUUUAUGAGUAAACCUCUCUUUUCA